rnacentral:rRNA from 1 species
AGAGUUUGAUCAUGGCUCAGAAUGAACGUUGGCGGCGUGGAUUAGGCAUGCAAGUCGCGCGACAAGUCUCGUUUAGUUUACUAAUCGAGAUGGAGGAGCGGCGAAAGGGUGAGUAACGCGUGGAUACCUGCCCCUAGGCCCGGGAUAGCGUUGGGAAACCGGCGGUAAUACCGGAUAACAUCUCCGGAUCAAAGGUGUGAUUCCGCCUAGGGAUGGGUCCGCGUCCUAUUAGCUUGUUGGUGGGGUAAAAGCCUACCAAGGCAAAGAUGGGUAUCGGGUGUGAGAGCAUGGCCCGACACACUGGGACUGAGACACUGCCCAGACACCUACGGGUGGCUGCAGUCGAGAAUCUUCCGCAAUGGGCGAAAGCCUGACGGAGCGACGCCGCGUGCGGGAUGAAGGCCUUCGGGUUGUAAACCGCUGUCAGUGGGGAGCAAAUCUCUAAGAGCUAUCUCUUAGGGUUGAGCUAUCCGCAGAGGAAGCGCAGGCUAAGUUCGUGCCAGCAGCCGCGGUAACACGAACUGCGCAAACGUUAUUCGGAAUCACUGGGCUUAAAGAGUCCGUAGGCGGCUCAGCAGGUGAGGUGUGAAAUCCCACGGCUCAACCGUGGAAUUGCGCUUCAAACCGUUGGGCUAGAGGGAGAUAGAGGAGAGCGGAACUGAUGGUGGAGCGGUGAAAUGCGUUGAUAUCAUCAGGAACACCGGUGGCGAAAGCGGCUCUCUGGGUCUCUUCUGACGCUGAGGGACGAAAGCUAGGGGAGCGAACGGGAUUAGAUACCCCGGUAGUCCUAGCUGUAAACGAUGAGCACUAGAUCGAGGGGACUCCCACAUCCUCUUGGUCGGAGCGAAAGUGUUAAGUGCUCCGCCUGGGGGAGUAUGGUCGCAAGGCUGAAACUCAAAUGAAUUGACGG